rnacentral:rRNA from 1 species
CCUACGGGUGGCAGCAGUGGGGAAUAUUGCACAAUGGGCGAAAGCCUGAUGCAGCAACGCCGCGUGAGGGACGACGGCCUUCGGGUUGAAACCUCUUUUAGUAGGGAAGCGGUACCUGCAGAAAAAGCACCGGCUAACUACGUGCCAGCAGCCGCGGUAAUACGUAGGGUGCAAGCGUUGUCCGGAAUUAUUGGGCGUAAAGAGCUCGUAGGCGGUUUGUCGCGUCUGCUGUGAAAUCCCGAGGCUCAACCUCGGGCUUGCAGUGGGUACGGGCAGACUAGAGUGCGGUAGGGGAGAUUGGAAUUCCUGGUGUAGCGGUGGAAUGCGCAGAUAUCAGGAGGAACACCGAUGGCGAAGGCAGAUCUCUGGGCCGUACUGACGCUGAGGAGCGAAAGCAUGGGGAGCGAACAGGAUUAGAUACCCUUGUAGUC